rnacentral:rRNA from 1 species
GCUGGUGGCUAUAGCGUGGGGGUCCCACCUCUUCCCAUUCCGAACAGAGUAGUUAAGCCCCACUGCGCCGAUGAUACUGCCUUCGGGUGGGAAAGUAGGUCGCUGCCGGCU